CAUAUAACUCCUCUUUUUUUUGCAGACUGGGAAUGGUGGAUUUUGCGGGAAUCAGAAGAGUUGUCGUUGGUCGAGGCGAUCAUCCUCUGCACUUUAUUGCCAUUCACUUAGUUGACAGAUGACUUUGGAGGGAAGAUUUCUCAUAUUGGCAAACUGAGAGAUUUUCUUCUGGAACACAGGAAAGAUUAUAUUAAUGCUUACAGCCAUAUCAUGUCUGAAUAUGGGAGGAUGACAGAUGCAGAACGUGACCAGAGAGACCAGGAUGCUCAGAUAUUCAUGAAGACCUGUUCAGAAGCAAUCCAGCAACUCAGAACAGAAGCCCACAAGGAGAUACAUUCCCAGCAAGUGAAGGAGCACAGGACUGCUCUUCUGGAUUUCAUUCAAGAUUACUUAAAAAGUAUUUCAUCUUCCCUUAAAGGAGUGUGUAAACUUUACUCAGAACAGAGAGCCAUUUGAGUUAAAUUCGAGUGGUGGAUAAGAAGACAUUGAAGCGGGCAGUCCAGGUUUGGGGAACCGGUGAGCAGAACGUCCCAGGCAGAGACCAGUUUGUCUAAUCAGGUCCUGGGAAGCAGUUCAGACUCCGAUGGCAUGUGAUGGACCCUGAAGGUGAGAAGGUGGCCACUAGACUCACACUGCUACCAAGGAGGAGCAGCAGAUGUCACUGCACAAUGCCAGGUGGAAACCCAACAGGUAUAGGAGGAAAAGUAAGAGGCUUUUACUGCUUCCUCCUCCAUCUGCCCUUGGCAGAGGUUUCAACUAAAAUACACAUUAAAAUCAGUCAGAUAAGAAAUCCUCUGUAGACAGUGAAAUGCAGCACCGUUUCCUGCCAGCUACCUGCCCUGCACCAGUUACUUUGCGCACAGACCUGGAGGGAAGUGGGGAGCUGUACAUCCCUCCACAGUGUAUUCCAGCCCUCUACUCCUGGCUCCUCACCUUGGGCAGUGGGCUCUGUCUGAAGGAGGUGGGCUCACUCCCUUGCUUGCUGUGUCUCACAGAGCCCGGACACAGCAGGCAUUCAGAGCCACAGCAACUACACCCCAGCCUUGAUUCUUAGGCAGUCCCCAGUGACACAUGCUCGGCCAAGCCCUACCACAGUUUUGCCCUAAAGACACCUUGCUCUUUGAGGCUCUUGGGCCUUAACGCUUGCUGGUUUCUCCACCCAAGAAUGCCUUUCAUGUAUGCUUAUGUUCUGUUUCCC